UACGUAGGGUGCGAGCGUUAAUCGGAAUUACUGGGCGUAAAGCGUGCGCAGGCGGUGAUGUAAGACCGAUGUGAAAUCCCCGGGCUUAACCUGGGAACUGCAUUGGUGACUGCAUCGCUCGAGUAUGGCAGAGGGGGGUAGAAUUCCACGUGUAGCAGUGAAAUGCGUAGAUAUUGGGAGGAACACCGGUGGCGAAGGCGGCCCCCUGGACCGGUACUGACGCUGAGGCGCGAAAGCGUGGGUAGCAAACGGG
rnacentral:rRNA from 1 species